ACGUAGCAGAGCAGCUCCCUCGCU
rnacentral:piRNA from 5 species